AGAGUUUGAUCAUGGCUCAGGACGAACGCUGGCGGCACGCUUAACACAUGCAAGUCGAACGAGAGAAGAGGAGCUUGCUUUUCUGAUCUAGUGGCGGACGGGUGAGUAACACGUGAGCAAUCUGCCUUUCAGAGGGGGAUACCGAUUGGAAACGAUCGUUAAUACCGCAUAACAUAAUUGAACCGCAUGAUUUGAUUAUCAAAGAUUUAUCGCUGAAAGAUGAGCUCGCGUCUGAUUAGCUAGUUGGUAAGGUAACGGCUUACCAAGGCGACGAUCAGUAGCCGGACUGAGAGGUUGAUCGGCCACAUUGGGACUGAGACACGGCCCAGACUCCUACGGGAGGCAGCAGUGGGGAAUAUUGCACAAUGGAGGAAACUCUGAUGCAGCGAUGCCGCGUGAGGGAAGAAGGUUUUAGGAUUGUAAACCUCUGUCUUCAGGGACGAAAAAAGGCAGUACCUGAGGAGGAAGCUCCGGCUAACUACGUGCCAGCAGCCGCGGUAAUACGUAGGGAGCGAGCGUUGUCCGGAAUUACUGGGUGUAAAGGGAGCGUAGGCGGGAUCGCAAGUCAGAUGUGAAAACUAUGGGCUUAACCCAUAAACUGCAUUUGAAACUGUGGUUCUUGAGUGAAGUAGAGGUAAGCGGAAUUCCUAGUGUAGCGGUGAAAUGCGUAGAUAUUAGGAGGAACAUCAGUGGCGAAGGCGGCUUACUGGGCUUUAACUGACGCUGAGGCUCGAAAGCGUGGGGAGCAAACAGGAUUAGAUACCCUGGUAGUCCACGCCGUAAACGAUGAUUACUAGGUGUGGGGGGACUGACCCCUUCCGUGCCGCAGCAAACGCAAUAAGUAAUCCACCUGGGGAGUACGACCGCAAGGUUGAAACUCAAAGGAAUUGACGGGGGCCCGCACAAGCAGUGGAGUAUGUGGAUUAAUUCGAAGCAACGCGAAGAACCUUACCAGGUCUUGACAUCGUAUGCAUAGCUCAGAGAUGAGUGAAAUCUCUUCGGAGACAUAUAGACAGGUGGUGCAUGGUUGUCGUCAGCUCGUGUCGUGAGAUGUUGGGUUAAGUCCCGCAACGAGCGCAACCCUUACUGUUAGUUGCUACGCAAGAGCACUCUAGCAGGACUGCCGUUGACAAAACGGAGGAAGGUGGGGAUGACGUCAAAUCAUCAUGCCCCUUAUGACCUGGGCCUCACACGUACUACAAUGGCUGUCAACAGAGGGAAGCAAAGCCGCGAGGUGGAGCGAACCCCUAAAAGCAGUCUUAGUUCGGAUUGUAGGCUGCAACCCGCCUACAUGAAGUCGGAAUUGCUAGUAAUCGCAGAUCAGCAUGCUGCGGUGAAUACGUUCCCGGGCCUUGUACACACCGCCCGUCACGCCAUGGGAGUCGGUAACACCCGAAGCCUGUAGUCUAACCGCAAGGAGGACGCAGUCGAAGGUGGGAUUGAUGACUGGGGUGAAGUCGUAACAAGGUA
rnacentral:rRNA from 1 species